GCGCUUGCUUCAGCAGCACAUAAGCUAAAGUUGGAAUGUUACAGAGAAGAUUAGCAUGGCCCCCAUACAAGAAUGACAAAAAUUCAUUAGGCGUUCCACCUUGUU
ensembl:snRNA U6 U6 spliceosomal RNA